rnacentral:tmRNA from 1 species
GGGGGUGUAAAGGUUUCGACAGGUGUGUGGAACAAGGAUAAGCGAGCCGUGGCGGUGAUCCACGUAAAAAGUACCCGUCGGCCCCGUGUCACCUGCAGCACGGGAAUCCGGCGUCAUGCAUGCAGGGACCUCUUGCGUGAUCUCCCGGUAGCGUAAGAGUACCCACGGGAUAGCAAAACCCUGAGUUUGCCGUUUGGCGAAGGGCGAGCGAAUCAAAAGCAAUCGGCUGCGCUCGGAGAAAGUCUUUCGGAAAUGCUCUUGGACGUGGGUUCGACUCCCACCAUCUCCACCA